rnacentral:rRNA from 1 species
GAUGAACGCUAGCGAUAGGCUUAACACAUGCAAGUCGAGGGGCAGCAUGGUCUUAGCUUGCUAAGGCUGAUGGCGACCGGCGCACGGGUGCGUAACGCGUAUGCAACUUGCCUCACAGAGGGGGAUAACCCGUCGAAAGACGGACUAAUACCGCGUACACUUGGGAUAGGGCAUCCUGACCCAAGGAAAUGAACUUCGCUGUGAGAUAGGCAUGCGUCCCAUUAGCUAGUUGGUGAGGUAACGGCUCACCAAGGCGACGAUGGGUAGGGGAACUGAGAGGUUGAACCCCCACACUGGUACUGAGACACGGACCAGACUCCUACGGGAGGCAGCAGUGAGGAAUAUUGGUCAAUGGGCGAGAGCCUGAACCAGCCAAGUCGCGUGAAGGAUGACUGUCGUAUGGAUUGUAAACUUCUUUUAUACGGGAAUAACAAGAGUCACGUGUGACUCCCUGCAUGUACCGUAUGAAUAAGCAUCGGCUAACUCCGUGCCAGCAGCCGCGGUAAUACGGAGGAUGCGAGCGUUAUCCGGAUUUAUUGGGUUUAAAGGGUGCGUAGGCGGCCUGUUAAGUCAGCGGUGAAAUCUAGGAGCUUAACUCCUAAAUUGCCAUUGAUACUGGCGGGCUUGAGUGUAGAUGAGGUAGGCGGAAUGCGUGGUGUAGCGGUGGAAUGCAUAGAUAUCACGCAGAACUCCGAUUGCGAAGGCAGCUUACUAAGGUACAACUGACGCUGAAGCACGAAAGCGUGGGUAUCAAACAGG